rnacentral:rRNA from 1 species
UGGGGAAUUUUGGACAAUGGGCGCAAGCCUGAUCCAGCCAUGCCGCGUGCGGGAAGAAGGCCUUCGGGUUGUAAACCGCUUUUGUCAGGGAAGAAAUCUUCUGAGUUAAUACCUCGGGAGGAUGACGGUACCUGAAGAAUAAGCACCGGCUAACUACGUGCCAGCAGCCGCGGUAAUACGUAGGGUGCAAGCGUUAAUCGGAAUUACUGGGCGUAAAGCGUGCGCAGGCGGUUUUGUAAGACAGAGGUGAAAUCCCCGGGCUCAACCUGGGAACUGCCUUUGUGACUGCAAGGCUUGAGUGCGGCAGAGGGGGAUGGAAUUCCGCGUGUAGCAGUGAAAUGCGUAGAUAUGCGGAGGAACACCGAUGGCGAAGGCAAUCCCCUGGGCCUGCACUGACGCUCAUGCACGAAAGCGUGGGGAGCAAACAGGAUUAGAUA